rnacentral:sRNA from 1 species
AAAAAUAGGUACAAAUUCCCUCAACACUUCUAAAAUCAUAUUAGGAGUUUUUUGGCAUCCUUUCAUGAAUUGAACAGCAAUACUCCCCAACUCCAGAAUUGCCCCUUCUCCUUGUGACUUAAGUGCCUUUAACAUGGACUUCAAUGACACAGAUGCGUUGCUCAAACCUAAGUCCCCUUUUAUCUUCACCUUCACGCCAGCCACCAAGAAAGUCAUGGUGAGGGUCUGCCAGUUAAGAUGCAUAUCCCCUAGUUUAUGCAACCACUGCAUACUCAAAAUCACGUCGGAGCUUCCCAAUUCUAACGGCUAAAAGUCCUCCACCACUAUCACAUUUUGCAAUUGAAGCUUCACGUUAUUGCAAACCCCUUCCCCUUUUACUGUGAAACUAGUUCCCAUAAUGACGCCGUAACCGUUUGUGCCCGAUAAAGGAAGUCCCAACUGCCCGACCACUUUCUCAGAGAUGAAAUUGCAUGAGGCCCCACAAUCAAUCAAGACUAUUACCUCCUUCGAGCUGAUCGAGCCCUUCAACUUCAUAGUCUCUGGGGCAGUGAGACCUACUACCGAAUUAAGGGAUAGCUCGACCAAGGUUCCCACGCCGGUUGCAUCAUCAUCGGUUGUUGCUCCAAUUCCCUACUCGAUCGGUAAGUAUCAUGAUCGUGCCGGUUGGAUCCAAGGCUCUGAUACCACUUUGAUAGAAGAAGGCAAAAAAAUAAAAUAAAAUAAAAAUGCAUUGAAUAUAUUCAAUCAGAAAUAACAAAAACGGGUACAAUGCUCAACUCUCAGGUGUACUCUCCUUUUCUCACUUAAUCAAUUGGUGCCCCGUCUAAUCUUCCCCACACCCUUACAUAUACCCUUCUUCUAACCAACUCAAACAGAAUAGCUAACCACCCUAACUACAAAGAGAGAUGCAGCUUUAUUCUAGAAGCUACUAUCGUGCCAUGCUGUCAUAUAGUUAUCUCCCCAUGUUGCUUGGUCCCCUUACGUCUUGUGUAUGUAAAUUUAAUUGGAGGUUUGGACUUGGGCUUAUCACCAUCUAGAUUAAUUCAUAUAAUUUACCUCUGAGACUAGACCAAUAUAAGAGAGGAAAUCUUCCCAAUUUACCCUCGUCUCCUUAAAUCAAAACCCUAACUGGAGUACAUGCAACAUUCUGUGGCGGCUAUUGUAUUUCCUUCAUUUUCCGUCACAAUUUCAAGAUCUCUGUACAUCUUUGCAAUUUGCUUCGGAAUGCAAUCAAUUCUGAGGUAAGAUUUUCACUUUGUCUUUUCAACUCUUGGCAUUCGCUACAAAUGCAUUUAAUUUUGUUUUCAAUUUGGAUUCACAUAUAGUUUAUUUGGAACUGAAGACAACAAGAGAAUGCUGGUCAUAAAAAAGUUUUAAAAAUUGAUGGUUUUAGAAUAAAUAUUUAACUAUUGAAUGCUAUUGCUCGGGCUUUUAAUAAAUUCGAUUGAAUGUUCGACAAUAUUUGUGGUUUUCACCUCUUUUAUUGAUUGCAUUUCCUUUUGUUUAAAUCUUGCUGUGAUUUUUUUCCCAAGACAAUAAAGCCCAGUGAAUGGAGUCCAUGAUCUUCAUGUGUUACUCCAUUAUUCCUGGCCUAUUAAUUUAUGUGCGCAUAUUUGCAAGUAUUCUUUGUAGUUAUUGAUGCCUUUAGGAUUGUGAUAGUGGCAUUUAAGGGUU